rnacentral:lncRNA from 10 species
UGUUGAUUGUGAAAUGCCAGUUGAAGCAUAUGUCCUGCGAGCUUAGGGGUGCUACAAGUUGACCACUGCAGCAGUAAAGAUGACUCUGAAGAAUGGCGUGGGAUGGUUCCUUUCAAAUGCACUUGAGCAGCGGUCUCCAACCACAGGGCCACAGAGCUGGAGCUGGAUCUACCAUGAAAGACUUGUGAAUCCAGGAAGAGAGACUGACUGGGCAACAUGUUAUUCAGGUGGGAACAUCCAGUUGCAGGAAAACAAGCUUAACACGCCCACUGAUUCUACAUUAUGCUCCUACCUCCCGGCAGCCUCUCCAGGCCCAGAACUUUCUCCAGUCAGCCUCUACAGACCAAGCUCAUGACUCACAAUGGCCUAUUUAGGCCCAUACCCUACGUCACGGCAGCCUCCGCAGAUGAGGCUACUGCCUCACAACAGCCUCCACAGGCACAGCUCCAUCGUUACAAUGGCCUCUUUAGACCCAGCUCCUGCCUCCCAGCCUUCUCUCCAGGCCCUGAACAUUCUCAGGUCUCCCUCUGUUGUCCAAGGCUGGAGUGUAGUAGUGCUAUCGCAGCUGACUGCAGCCUCAACCUUCCAGGCUGAAGCGAUCCUCCCACCUCAACCUCCCACGUGGCUGAGACUACAGGUGCUUGCCACUAUGCCCAACUAAUAUUUGGAAUUUUCGUAUACGU